UACGUAGGGUGCGAGCGUUGUCCGGAAUUAUUGGGCGUAAAGAGCUUGUAGGCGGUUUGUCGCGUCUGCCGUGAAAGCCCAGGGCUUAACCCUGGGUCUGCGGUGGGUACGGACAGACUAGAGUGUGGUAGGGGAGACUGGAAUUCCUGGUGUAGCGGUGAAAUGCGCAGAUAUCAGGAGGAACACCGAUGGCGAAGGCAGGUCUCUGGGCCACUACUGACGCUGAGAAGCGAAAGCAUGGGGAGCAAACAGG
rnacentral:rRNA from 1 species